GAGGGGCUUUUAAGGAAGAAGGAGAAAGGCAUGUGCAUCGAGGAAGGGUUUUCAUCGGACUUGGCUACUAUAGCAGAUAAGCAGAGCGCUUCGCUUCUUCCUCUACCUAUCCAACAAUAAUUCAAUUCAAAUGCAAAUGGGUUGUACGUUGUUGGGUGCUAAUCACUCUCUCAAUCCAAAACCCAGUCAAGUCUGCCUCUCUCUCAAACGACCUCCGCGUGCGUCUCCAAUACUGCUCCUCUCUCUCAAUCAAAACUUUCUCUUCUUUUUAGUCUGGGUUGUUACAAAAUCCGACGACGAUAAUCAAAUAACUGCCUGCUCCCCACCCACUUUUUUUCAUCCUGCAAACUGCAACACUCUGCACGUGAAACUUUCAGGUUUGCUCAUAUGCUUGAUUUUGCAAAGAGGAUAUCUUGGUUUCAUAUUAUUUAUAUUGGGAUACUGGAUGGUAGUUUUAGGUUAAUCUAGAACUUUGAUUGCAUGGACUUCUUGGACUUCUUAUAAUAAGUUUCAAGUUAUUCCGUAGCAAGCAGCUUUGGAGGACAGUAAAAAUAAGGUCAACUUACGUUUUACAGCCUUGGAGGCUUGGAUUGGAGCAUUAGAAUUUGAGAUUAAUAGAUGCUGAAGCCUGCAGCAUAAGGGAGGAACUUGAUAAACUGAUGACACUGCAGCAGCCUUUAAGUGGAAGUUGUAACAAUUCAUCGGAGACCGCAAAAGAUGCAACGGUAGAGCAUUUAAAAGCAGCACUCGUAGAAAUUCAACUAUGUUCCAGGUUGGAGUCUCUGUUACUAAAGAAGAAAUCCUUGAACAAUGGGGACUCACCUGAGCUGCACACUGAAAAGGUCGAAAAAUUAAAAGUAUUAUCAGAAUCUCUUGCUAAUUCCACCUCACAAGCAGAAAAGCGCAUUUUGGACCACAGGGAAUGGUAAGAAACUUGGAAAGGGAGGAUUUCAUACAUGAAAGCUUUGGAAAUGUUAUCCCCUCAAGCAUAUUACUGAGAGCCAGAACCAGGUUGUGAUUACCGAUAGGAUCUGGGCCACAACUCCUUUCUUCAACCAACCAACCGAGCUUCUUGAACCCCAAAGAUGUUGAUGAAGUCCAAAAAGAGGAAGAGCCUCCAACUCAACUGCUAGACAGGGAAAAUUGUAAAGCUAGCAAGUACUGAAGACAUUCCUGGCAUGAUAUGAAAACACAAGACUGUUUUAUUCGAAACCUUCUGUUAGAAUCACUAGUAUUCAGAUCUUUGGUUGAUGCCCUACUGACCCAGAAUGUUGAUGGGAAUUCACAUUUUUGACUGCUAGUAGCAUCUGUGGAGCGUAAUUGUUUGUUGUUGUAUCAGAUGAAUUCAAUUCACCAUGUCCUAUCUAAGAGAUUUCCGCUUAAAAUGUUCAUUUGAUAUAAGCAAUACUAGCAUCUCUGGAAUGGGAUUAGCAGUCUAAUUAAGCUCCAUCCUGUACGAGUUUGUAAUUACUUAGGUCAUUGCAUAUUUUUGACAAGUGCUGCUACUGGCCGUUUGUUCUGUUGGAUAGUUUUGGGUGCUUAGCAGUAGAUAGUAGUUUGGAUGUUUAACAGGAGCUGCUAUGCCAUCUGUUCUGUUUCAUUUUUAUGCUUUCGUCUUAAAAUUGAGUCGAGUAUAUUCAUCCUUUACACAUUUCCUGCAAUGCGGUAACGCAAUUAUUUCAUUGUAUCUGCACAGCCAUACCAAACAGUCAUAGUGGCAUGGUCAUUCAUUGUUUUGCGAUAUAUCAUGUGUAGGGUUUGUUUGUGAGUUUCUAACCGUAUUUGUUCAUUUCAAGGUCUCUAAUACAUCAUGUACCUUGCGGACUAACUACUUCGUAUGUAUUAUGAGUUAUAUGUCAUGAAUGAUUCAUUCUACUGUGCGCUA